CACUGCCGAGAAAAGCCUCUAGAUAGAAAAUAGGUGCCCGUACCGCAAACCGACACAGGUAGUCAAGAUGAGAAUUCUAAGGUGAGCGAGCGAACUCUCGUUAAGGAACUCGGCAAAAUGACCCCGUAACUUCGGGAGAAGGGGUGCUCUUUAGGGUUAACGCCCAGAAGAGCCGCAGUGAAUAGGCCCAAGCGACUGUUUAUCAAAAACACAGGUCUCUGCUAAACCGUAAGGUGAUGUAUAGGGGCUGACGCCUGCCCGGUGCUGGAAGGUUAAGAGGAGUGGUUAGCUUCUGCGAAGCUACGAAUCGAAGCCCCAGUAAACGGCGGCCGUAACUAUAACGGUCCUAAGGUAGCGAAAUUCCUUGUCGGGUAAGUUCCGACCCGCACGAAAGGCGUAACGAUUUGGGCACUGUCUCAACGAGAGACUCGGUGAAAUCAUAGUACCUGUGAAGAUGCAGGUUACCCGCGACAGGACGGAAAGACCCCGUGGAGCUUUACUGUAGCCUGAUAUUGAAAUUCGGCACAGCUUGUACAGGAUAGGUAGGAGCCUUUGAAACGUGAGCGCUAGCUUACGUGGAGGCGCUGGUGGGAUACUACCCUAGCUGUGUU
rnacentral:rRNA from 1 species